rnacentral:lncRNA from 1 species
UCCUUCCUUCCUUCCUUCCUUCCUUCCUUCCUUCCUUCCUUCCUUCAGCCAUGGUCUCUCUUUCCUUGCAGGAUAUCUGCCCCGGUCAAUACAAGAAUGUCUUCCUCAGUUGGCUUUGUAUCUCAAAGAAAACAUAUCUGUUUGACAGCUCAAGGCAAAAAAUGCUGCCAGGGUGGACCCUCUUUGGCCAGUGCAUCCUUUAAUGCAGUAUCCACCACCUGCUGAAGUCAUCAGGCCCCACUGCAUCGUCGCAGGACAAUACCAGCACAGAGCUGGCAGCAAAGACAUCUUGCCUUCUUUUGUUUGUCAAGACAGUGUCCCGUGAAUCACAGGCUGAUCUUGAACUUGGUAUGUAGCUGAGGAUGGCCGUGAACCUUUGAGCUUCCUGCCUCUAUCUCCUGGGUGCCAUGGUUACAGGCUACAGACUCCAGCUUUUGGUCUGAAUAGAGAUGGAUGACCUUGGCUAUAUGGUGACUUCUUGCCAUUCCUUUUCUACUGAUUGAGAUGGGCUGGGAAGUGAAAGGAUCUCACAAUUUCCCAAGCCCCAUGAAAGCAGAGCUGUACUGGCCUCCUUCACACCCUCCCUUGAAUUUAUCACCAGACAUUAAGUUCACAGACUACUAUCAUCACCCCAGCAGAUUUUUAAUAGAGCCUUGGGGUAUCCGGU